UUUAUGGAGAGUUUGAUCCUGGCUCAGGACGAACGCUGGCGGCGUGCCUAAUACAUGCAAGUCGAGCGGACUUGAUGGGAGCUUGCUCCUUAUCAAGUUAGCGGCGGACGGGUGAGUAACACGUGGGCAACCUGCCCUAUAGUUGGGGAUAACUCCGGGAAACCGGGGCUAAUACCGAAUAAUACAUUUCUUCUCCUGAUGAAAUGUUGAAAGAUGGUUUACGCUAUCGCUAUAG
rnacentral:ncRNA from 1 species